CAAGGCCUUGGUCCCGAGCCUAGUAUUGCCUACUCGAUAUGACCAUACAUGCAAGUCUCCGCGCCCCAGUGAGGCAAGCCAUCGCACACCGACAGCUGCGCUGAGCAGACAUCAGGCACGCACAACAGUGCAGCCCAUGACGUCCAGCAAAUCUUCACCACACCCCCACGGGCCACAGCAGUAACAAACAUUGAGCAAUAAAUGUAAAUUUGACUCAGCAAUAUCGAACCUAAGCCGGCAAACUUCGUGCCAGCCGCCGCGGUUACACGAAGUGGCUAAAGACAAUACCUUACCGGCGUAAAUAGUGACUAGAUCUUUUCCCCGACCACCAAAGAAGCAGAUCCGCCCUCAGCAGUGAAAUGCACCAGGACCCGAAAACACCACAUUCUUUGCCAAGCGGGACACAUUGACCACACGAAAGCCAGGGCACAAACUAGGAUUAGAUACCCUACUAUGCCUGGCCGUAAACACCGGCGUCCCACAAAACCAAGAACGCCCGCCAGAGAACUACAAGCGAAAAGCUUAAAACUCAAAGGACUUGGCGGUGCCCCGCCUCAUACUAGAGGAGCCUGUCCAAUAACCCGAUGUUACCCGAUACACCCAACCGCCUAUUGCAACUGCAGCCUAUAUACCGCCGUCUCCAGCCCACCUUAUGAAAGCCCACUAGUGGGCACAAUUGUCUCACCCACAAACACGACAGGUCGAGGUGUAGCUAAUUAGGCGGACAAGAUGGGCUACAUUCUUCACCAAGAAGCACACGAACGGCCGAUUGAAACACCUGCUUGAAGGCGGAUUUAGAAGUAAAAUGACAAAGACCAUCCAUUUUAACAAUGCCACGGGGCACGCACACACCGCCCGUCACCCUCUUCGCCGCACUCAUAACAUAAAUAAACAACCACAUAGCACUAAAGAAGAGACAAGUCGUAACAUGGUAAGUGUACUGGAAAGUGCACUUGGAUUUGA
rnacentral:rRNA from 1 species